rnacentral:rRNA from 1 species
AGUUCGGAUUGUAGUCUGCAACCCGACUACAUGAAGCUGGAAUCGCUAGUAAUCGCGGAUCAGAAUGCCGCGGUGAAUACGUUCCCGGGUCUUGUACACACCGCCCGUCACACCAUGGGAGUCGGAAAUGCCCGAAGUCUGUGACCCAACCUACGGGAGGGAGCAGCCGAAGGCAGGUCGGAUGACUGGGGUGAAGUCGUAACAAGGUACC